CCAUCACGGAGCCAGUUGCCCAGCUUGUGUCUGAGUCUCAUCGAGUGGGAAGGUAAAUUUUAAUGAGAUUUUGCUGCUAUCUCUUGAGUUCCUCCAGGAUGAAGAGUGCCUUUGGUAAGACCUAGGACAUCUGUGAGCAAAGGCGGACUGACGGUAGGUGAUCGGGUUGUUCCCUCCCAUCCCCAGAUUCAGUACCUGUACCUGCCCACCCCCCUCACACUUGGUCACUGUCGUGUUUAAUGGGUGUGGAAUAAAAAGCAGCUCAAGACUUUGUGCCUCUGUUCCCUAAACCAUAUCCCAGCCUAACAAGGACGGCCGGGGCCUCCAAACACAAGCCAUGAGAAUUGAGUUUCCUGCAUUUUUCAGGAUAACGUCAAUAGAAUGGCAAUAACUUGUCUGGGUGAUUGGAUUUUAUAUACACGAAUUUCAUCUCCAGUGGCAGCACAGUGACUUGGUCAUAAUAGAUAAAGGAAGAUCUAAAGCUGCCUGGACCGAAGGACGCUCUUGAUCACAUGGGAUGUAGCCGUGGCUGCGUGUCAACAGUGUUUCUGGUCAGAAUCUCCGUGUCCACGAGGUCAGUGGGUAGGUUACUGGAGGUACAUUGCAAAUCAGGGUACAAAGCCUGCUGUGCACCGAGAAUACACACCAGCUGGUGCUCGCAAGGACUGCUGUCCAUCAGUACAACUGCUGUCUUUCUGCUGCAUUUGGGUCUCUGGUGUACUAAACGAGCAGAACCUACCUGAACGCAAGGACCCACCUCCCGGUGUUGGCGUCUGGGGACAGGUUGGGAGCUACACACAGUAGAAAAGUUGUGGCUGGAAUGAGCUCUGUCAGUAGCUGCUGUUGGGGGCAAGUCAUCCCUGGGGCGUCCUGAACAGGCCCACGUGCAGCAGGGAACAGACGGGCUCCGCUGGGGCUGAGUGCCAAGGGCGGGAUGCGGUGAUCAGGCAAACGCGGGGUGACCCUCCGUGAACAGGUCAGUGACAGGCGGCCGAGUGCAGGUCCCGCUUCCUGGGUGGGGCGUGGGGACAGGACAUCCCAGCAGGGUGGCAGAGAAGACACGGCUGACACACGAGACUAGCCCCCAAGGCUGGGUCUCUUCGCUGCCAAGGCCAAGGGGCCCAUGAACUGUACGCCAGGACUCGGGUGGCUACGGCUUGUGCGUGGAUGCGGUGGGAACCAGCCUUCUCAGCGUUUGUGUAACUGCAGAGGAAGGUGAGUUCUGACGGAGCUUCCCGUGAACCAUUACCACAUUAUAAAUCAAUGAAAAUUUACCAAACUCUAGAAGAGGCAGCUACACACCCGGGCUGACGACAGCCGUCUGGGCUCUCCCACCACGACGGCGUCACUGUGCCACCGCCGCCUGGCCCGAGGAGCAGCGCCACCUCCUUGGGACGUAAGAAAGAGGGUGUUAUUACUUCUUCAAGGAGGUAUGAACCUAGUCUGGCUACAUAUCCCCGUCGUAUCUGAAGGGCUGUAUCUAGACUCGUGGGAUUUAGAGCUAGAUCGGUUCUCAGAAGUCGCUUCAUCCGAUUGUCUGUUGUUUCACGUGGAGAACGAGGCUUAGAGGGUACGUAGCCGCAGGCCUCUCGGCAGCCGGGGACGUGCCCCGUGCUGGUCUCCGAUGCCAGCAGUGAGUCCCUUAUUAAAUUGUGACGUGUAUUAGUGGUAGUAGGUUUAUAUGUAGGCAUAUAUUUGUUAUAUUUGGUAUUAACUUGCCUAAUAAAUAGGCAGUAUUAGUGAAACCAAGAUUUCAGGAGGAUGGCUACUGGAAAACCGAAGGAGUUAAAUGUUUUUCCCAUUAGACUCAGUUGUCUUUUUCUAAAAUCAGCUGAGGAAGCUGUGUGACAGAUGACAACGACCAGGAGAAGUUCAAGUAUUCUUUAUUCAAAGUUGAAAAAUGUACCACACUGCAUUAUUGCAAAAAUUCACUGGUACAAAACACUUUGCAGCUGGUGAGAAGGCAAUAAAAAGUUGAUUUUUAAACUCAUUACUAUAAAUUAUUCUUACAGUACUUAGCAAAUUCAGAAUUUCAAACUGCAUUUUCUUUUUCUAAAUCGCCCACAGUACUCGAGGUUCCUGAAGCUAAGGCAGCUGUUCCAAGAGGAGAAGGGGGGAGGUAGCAGACGUCAAGGGAUUUCCAUUUCUCUUUCGAUGCCCACGUACUUGAGGGCGUCAGCCUGGCUGUAUCUGAAACAAACGGCAAGAAAAAGG